GGGAACUACGAGCAUCAGCUUAAAACCCAAAGGACUUGGCGGUGCUUUAGACCCCCCUAGAGGAGCCUGUUCUAGAACCGAUAACCCCCGUUUGACCUCACCUUUUCUUGCCCCCCCCGCCUAUAUACCGCCGUCGUCAGCAUACCCUGUGAAGGAAACAUAGUAAGCAAAACUGG
rnacentral:rRNA from 1 species